rnacentral:rRNA from 1 species
UACGGAGGGUGCAAGCGUUAUCCGGAUUCACUGGGUUUAAAGGGUGCGUAGGUGGUUUGGUAAGUCCGUGGUGAAAUCCCCGAGCUUAACUUGGGAACUGCCAUGGAUACUAUUAAUCUUGAAUGUCGUGGAGAUGAGCGGAAUAUGUCAUGUAGCGGUGAAAUGCUUAGAUAUGACAUAGAACACCAAUUGCGAAGGCAGCUCGUUACGCGAAUAUUGACACUGAUGCACGAAAGCGUGGGGAUCAAACAGG